UUUUCACGCGUCAUCUCACAACAGCCAUCUCCCAGUAUGCUCCCCGAGCCCUUUUUCAAGAUUCUUUCCAUAAAUGUGGAGGGCGCAGAGCCCUGUCUGCGCCUGGGGCAACGGUUUUUGAAAAGGAGAAAAAAGAAGUCAGAAGUGCUGAGGUCACGAGCCUUGGCUAAGAGCACGUGUUUACUAUCAUUAAUUGGAAAAGAAAGGGAACGCUUAGGGGGUUUGUUUUUAUUUUUUAUUAUUAUUGUUGGAAAUGAUUAGUCGUCUCGGUCUGUUAUCUAUUUAAACACAAAGGAAGCUUGGCAGUAGAACAAACAAAGCUUAUGAAGUCCAUAUAAAGCCACAAAGAUCAAAAUACUUCAGAUUUUUUUUCUCCUGGUCCCUCCUCCUGUCUCAUAUUAAAAUGGAAAGAAAAAAAAAAGCAACACCAAAUGUUAAAAGCCCAUAAAUAAAAACAAAAAGGCAAGAGUGUUCUGCAAGGCAUUAGCUUUGUUUUCCAACAGGUGCUUUUCAUAUUCGGAGUAAUUUCAGGGUGGAUGGCAGUGCUGCAAUAGGAAAGGACCAAAUCAGAGGCAGAAUAGAAAUUGUUUUCUGUACUCCAGAUUGAAAUCCAAUCUUUGAUUUUUUUAAAGAGCCUCUUAAAUCACAGGUUGUGCUAAUUAUAGGGGAAUGAACUGCAGGUUUCUCAUUUAAGGCACCUGGGCCAUGGCUUGAAGUCUCAAGUGAAAAAAGAAACCAUACACAUGUGUUCACAUUCUCUUUCUAAUGCUUCAGUGCUGCAUAGCAAGUAAUGCCAAAAUGAAUAAAUAGCAUGCUGCAGAUCUUUUCUCUAGGACAUAGUUUGUUGUUGCUGUUGUUGUUAUUAUUAUUCUAGUCUAAAUCAUGUUAUUCAAGGAGAAAUCUAGGGGAAAACUCUGCCUGUUUAGGAGGAUGCAGAUACCAAGAAGGCAGCUGGAGGUGUUCGCAGCCCCACCUCUCCUACCACAACACCCUGCUAACAUCUAAAAGCAGCAGCCAUCAGCUCAGCAGCUCUCACGUUGGAUGGCAUAGUCACCCAAGGAAUAUCAAGCUGUCUUACUGCGCACGCAGAGCCAGAGUGAAAGCCUCAGCAGAGCAAGCUGGAGGCACACAGCAGAGCCACUCCAUUUCCAAGACAUUCUCAGGGGCCAACCCACAUACUUAACAGGGAUACCAAGUUGCAGGCACGCAGGGAAAAGAUGUGCAAAGAUCAUAACCUACUUCUCCCUCGUUCAUGCAUUAUGCACGUCUCGAUUUCUGUGCAUUUCUCACAUGUAUUUCCAGUUUUAGGCAGACUUAAAAAUGUCACUUCCACUUCUCUUUAGAAAUGCCAGAGAAGGAAUAAUCAGCUACAUCUCAAGCUGACUGAACAUUUAAGAGCUGCUGCAUUUAUUAGUGUCUUCAGGAACAGAUGUGUAUUAUCUCCUUAUCCAAGUUAAAGGGCUUUUUGGUCUUUGCUUGAAGGCUGCACUAGAAAGAUUUAAUAUUAGUGUAAUGAGAGAAGAUGGGGAUAAAAGUUGUUUAUGCAGACCUUAGGCAUCACUCUUAAGUCAGAAGGCUUGGUUUUGAUCCUGUGCUUAUGACCAAAAGAGCCUUUUAUGUUUUGUCUUUUCUUGUAAAAUGCAUCCACUAAAUAAAUGAUACUUCACUGAUUAUUGGGGUUUUUGGGGGGCAGCAAAAACAGAACUCCUCUCCAGGUAGAUGUUUUGCUUUGCUUCAAAAGCAUAAUCCCCUGCAGCCACCUGGUGCCAAAGCAGGACUCCAGGCAGCGUAUGGUGCUUCUAUAGGAGCCUUAUCUUGUCAGCCUCCAGCUGACUCCACAGCAACCAUAGAGAUAGGCAAUUAGCAUUUGGACAGAGAUGGAUGUGGUCUUAGAAUCCAAGACUGUUCAGUCUGGGUGACUAAAUUUAGCCAUCUGAACUCACCAUGGUAUCAGUGGAGUAAAAAGCCAGCAAGCUUUAUUUAGGAUCCCUCACCCCUCCAAAAUUAAAUACAUCAUAUGUCCACACAUGCACGCACAUGUGUGUUUCUUUCAAAGAGCUGGCAAAGCUUUAACACUACCUUACCAGCUCCUUCAUAUUUUAUUCUGCCCCAGGGACCUCUUUAAAACCCUGGAUCCACCAAUCUCCACAAGUGCCUGUAACAUGCAGAGGGAGGUAAGGAAUCUUGGUUACUUCUCCCUCCAAACACAGGAGGUUCGUUUUGAGUUAAAUAUCACUAGGACUCACUGGGGUGACUGUACAGAGCCAGCCACAAGGGAUGUAAUACCAAAUGGCCUGAACUUUCAGCAGAGCACGAAGAAAAUGCUGAACUUCAGACUUUAGAAAGAAAAAAGAAAGAGAAAGGGGAAGAGGGGAAGUGGCCAUUCCCUUCUUCAAGCUUAAGGGGGAAACAAAAUAUAGACAAGCCUUUACUUGCUGACGUGGAUGGAAAUAGCUGCAAACUACCAGAAAUACAAUUCUUGUGGUUCCCAGCAGAAGGCCCAAGUUCCCCUCUCACAGUGUUUCCAAGUUACAGCAGUCUGAGUGUUUUGGAUGCUCAUCAAAUACAGGAUCUAAGGAAAGACUGUCCCAAGAGUAAGCUGCAGAACUCCAGUCUGUUGGUUUAAGUGACCGCAUUUACUUCGCUAGCUGACUGAUCUAGAGAUCAAAGUUUGUAGGGAUUUUUUUUCCAAUUGGAAGAGGAAGUUAAUCAGAAGCUUUAUAAAAUUAACACUCUACUUAAUUUUGCAUCUUCAGGUCAUCUCUUCAUGAAAGGUUUAUUUUUUUUUCAGUAGAAUGAGCUAGAUACAGCAGCAGAAAAUUAACCUAUUUUUUUGCUUGGCAGCAUAAGGAUUCAUGGGAAUGCCUUGAAAUCACCAUUUUCCUCUCCACUAAAUUGCCUUUGCUCUUUAAAGCAUGAGACGGCAGCAAAAGGAGAAUCUCAUUCUGUAUUACAGCAAUUCCUCAAGCAUUUUUGGAUGCUUCGAAGUAGAAUGCCUGGCAGCAGUAGAUUAGGACAUGGGACUGACAAAAAUUGCUGUCAGCUUGCUUAGAAUUAAGGAGAGAGUUGUCCCUGACUCCUUUUCCAGUACUUAACUGUGAUUUUUUCAGACUGAUCCCCUAAAGAGUUCUUAAUUUGGAGAGUGUUCCCUCUGCUGAGGGGUCUCCUCUCCCUCCCUGUCCCAACACAAAUCUGUACAGCAGCACCCACAGCCAGUGUUCUUGCCUUGUGCCCUGAGGAAGCUUACAGCAAUGAGCACUGUACAGGAGUCAAGCGUAGGACCCUGAAACCAGGCCGUGCACACAUUUGCUUUUAAUACAGUUACAGUAUCGGAGCAGUCGCCCUUAUGUUUUCAAACAAGGGUCUAGAAUUUAUUGAAAUGAGCACAACCUGCAGGAUUUAAGCAAAACCAAGGCUACAUUUUUUAACAGAUGCUCUGUUAUUUCAGUAGUGGGUAGCAGCAGUUCCACCACAUGCAUGUGAUUAUGGAUGUGACAUUUCCACUCUGCAAAUCCCAUUUCCAGGAAAGAACUCAUCUAGUCUUACAUUCCUACUUGGCACAUAUCAGACAGUUUUGCAGGGCCCUGUUUUCAUGCGUAUCACCGAGUUUUCUGUUGUUCUUACUGGAUCACAGGACAUUUGAAGAGAACCAAUGUGCAGGUAGGAAGGGAAGGGGACUAUGAAAGCCUGCAGCUGCAGGAGGCGAGGGAAGGAAAAUAUUGCCACAAGAGCAGAGGAGGAAAGCAGGAAUGCAGUGCAGCAAUUAAAGCAAAGAAUGCAAUGUCUGAACGAGGCUUCAGGAGUUGGAGGCCCAACCGUGCCUCCCACUGCAGGCAUGCUAUUUUCCCUUAUUCUUCACAUAUGUGACUUUGCUGCAGCUGAGCCCUGAAAAUCUGAAAAAGCUUGCUGGGAAGGUGCUGGUUUAUUUCACAGGACAGCAGACAACCUUCUCUUGGCUUUGUGGGAAAAAAAGUUGUUGAGAUUGCAAAUGUUUGUGUAACCUUGGGAAAAGGCAGGUAGGCUCUGUCAGAAUGGAAAGAGCGUGACGGGGCUUGGGUCAUCCUCACCUGCUGGCACGUGUCAGCAGCCAGCUCCCAGCACCUGCCUGGAGAAGCAGCUUUUCCUGUGGCCCUGUGCCAAACCACUGGCAGGCCAUUGCCACAACAAAUCUCUGUGAAUCAAAGCAGCUGCAGAGUAAGCAGCAGGAGAAGGUCAGCUAUCUCAUUAGAGCCGGGAGGCCCAGGCCUUCAGCCACGGCAAGGUCCCAGCUUCACAGCUGCAGCGUAUUUUGAUACCUGGCCUCAAACAAAUUGCAUAACUGCACCGUGAGGUCACCACCCCUCCUACUUGAUCCUCUCUGAGAACUGGAGGAGGGGGAAAGGAAAAUCACAAAAAAAAAUCCAACAAACAUGGGUGCUCAGGCAACCACCAGACACAGCGAUGCACUCCAGUUUCUGCGGAGAACAACAGACCUCCUCAUUUGACUCCAGAGAUGCAAUGCCUUUUUCUGCUUACAAAAAAAUGCUUGUUCCCAGAGACAAAAACAGGGGCUGUUUCCUGAACAAUCACCCAUGGAACAGUACAGCUUUCCAUAGCAUGAUCAGCAGCAUACACUGUCUAUGCAUACAUUGUAACUGACAUUUUGUACUUGCCUUCAGAGCAACCACAGAAAAGCUAAGUUGAUGCUCUGCUUCUUUUGAGAGGUUUUCAGGUGAGUAGCAAAAGCAGUUUCUCCUCAUUAGGCCUGAGAUGCCAACCUGCACGUAGUUAUGUACAGCUUGCAGAAUUAUCUAAAGCUUCCCAGGUGAAAGCUGUCAGGAUACUGAAAACACAACAAAAUCAAUUCUUGCUCUUUUUCUCAAUGUCAUGAAUAUGCAGAAGUGCUAGUUCUCCCAUUCUAGUUCUUUAAUUAAGAUUGAUUCGGAUUUAUCUACAAGAGGUCUUGCAAGUUAUAUCCAUGUAAGUUUGGCUAAGCGAAGUUCUCUCUCCUUAUCUGGUUCUAUAUUUUGCUUUAAUUUUUUUUUUUUUAAGGCUGGCCGUUCUUGUGAUUAACAGGUGUUGUUUUUGUGUUUUGUUAUUUUUUUCCUGGACUUGGCAGUAACCUUGUGUUUUGUAUGUACUUCUGCUAACUUGACCAUUACCCAAGCUAAAGUUACUGCUAUAGGAGUACCCAGCAUUCACUCAGUACUUGCUGAAUGCCAAGGUGGAGAAACACUCCUGGAACAGAUAAAACAUUGGUAGGAACAUGAAAUACAGAAAGAAAUGCCCUGGAAGAGGCCUAGAUCAAGGCACAGAACAUUUCUGAUUCUUUGUUGUUGGAACUCUUACAUCCAGGUGUUCUUACUAGAAACUAAAUGGCAGGUCUUAUCUGAACUCUCCUUCAUUCCCCACUGCAGACCCACACUGCAACAUUCACGUACUUCUCAUCUCCAUCUGAAGCAGAAAAAACUCAGACUGCUCUUCUGUGAAAUUAUUUGAAAAAUCUAUUUUAAAACAUGCAAAUCCAGUUGCUUGGAAAGACCUGCUUGAAUAGGCAAUCCUUCCUUGGGGGCAACAAUUACACAUGUAAAGUGGAACUGCAUCAGGUAGAAAUUUGUCAUCAGUACCUCAUACAUUUAUUGCUGUGUGUUUUCAUGCAACACACACACGUGAAAUACUAUGAGAUCAGUCUGAUCACUGUUUUCCCUCUUCCAUCCCAACAUCUGCUUUUCUGGCUAAGGAAGCAGAUGACAUACGUAAGAUAACAUCCAGCAGUGAGUGCUAGGACUUGCAUCAGCAACCAGCUUUUUCAUGUAGGACUUUCCAGGCUUUCCCUGGAGGCUAAAAGAGCUAACUCUUGUGACUGGACACUCCACAGACAAAUAGAGAUCCUUCCAUACAGAUGCGAGAUGCCAUAUCAAAUAAGAUCCUACAUCCAUACAAAGCUGCAUUCUUGUUUUUCUUCAGAAAAUACUCUCAUUCAAACAUACAAAAAAAAUGUAAAGCUUUAGAAAAAGAAACAAAGGAAUCAUUUACAGUGUCUCCUCAGGCAAAUAAUCAUGAAUACGAUGGGGACCAUCAUAAAUAAAAGUAAGGCUGUAUAAUGAAGAGUUCAAGAUGCCAUGGCCAUUUGCUUCAGGGUUUUACUAGGUCAGCAGAGGACUUUUUUCUUAUAGAGCAAGUUCUCAUUAACAAAGUGUACAUGACACACCAUAGGAAAAAUUAACAGUGAACGAUAGGGCUGGUGGGAACGCAUAGGGGUGGCAAAGGAGUUUCCAGAAGAUCAAUCUGGUUUUCAUUUUCUAUAAACUGAAUGGGCCAAAGCAGCUCAAAUUAAAGAGUAGAAAACAUGCUCAGAUUAUGUCUGAACUGCUUGGUAACCAGGCAAAAUACAGAACAAAACAAAAGCUAUAGCACUGCAGUAAAAGAUUGCUUGCAGAGUUCAGUAAAAAAGACCAUUCAGCAAGUUAUGUAUGCUCAGAGGAAUCUGUGAAACUAGUGUUCCCAAAUAAACUUUAUAUACAUAUAAAAACCUCCCAGAUACUCGGGAGAGAUUUGAAUAAUGAAAUCCACAUGCAGCUUAGGUGCUCAAAAACUCUUUGUUUUGUUUCGAGAGUACCAGAAACAGGAGAGAAGAAACUGGAAAGCAAUCUCAAGCAAGUUUUGCUGGUCACUUCCCAACAAAGAAAUUUUGAUCUUUAAAAAGCCAACAAAAACCACAGAUACUUGUAAACUGGCUUUGCAAGAGAGAGCUGUUUGUGCUUGGAUUUCCAGCUGCAUGACCCUAUUGUUUCAUCCAGACACUUCAGAUGUUCCACAUGAUGGAAGGCUAUUGUACAAACAUAUGGAGAAGGAAACAGUCCAGAUGUGAAAGCUAAAACCUGCUAAUAUUUGGGAUCAUCACUAGCAAGCCGAAAUUCUGUGGGAGCCAGGCCAUUUCUUCACUCAAUGCUACUAGCAGGCGAGGGGCUUGUACAGAAGACUUGGAUAGUGAUCUUUACAAAACAAAGAAAGCAAAAAAAAAAAAAAACCCUUCUCCCUUUCAUGCAAAAACUUAAGAGUAAAAAAAAUAUUUUUAACUUAAGUUUCUAAAUGACCCGUUGCUACAGCCAAGGCUGGCCAUUCGGAGGUCUGUUAUGGUCUGAACACACACUUGGUUUUGGAUGGUAUACAAACAGCAGUGCCUUUCUCCACCUCACUGGUUCAGGAUUUGUCUCCUCUUGUAUGCUCUGUGAAGGGAAAUUUCCAAGAGCCCUCGUUUGCCAGGAUCUCAGAAAGCAGGAUGCUUGUAAAUUUUACUUUACUGCCUACUCAUAAGGGGAGACCGUGAGGGCACAGCAGGGAGGGUGUGGGAGAACACAGGGAAAAGUAUCACAAAUACUGCAGCCAGAGGGAAAACUGAGCACUGGGUUUGUUGUUAUAGGGUCUCAACCAGUGAGCAGUUUAUUUUUCCAAAUAAAUCUGCUUCGCAGACAUCCUUUCUUCUUCCCCAUUCAAGUUUCAACCAGGAAACCUGGAAUAAGUUACAGUUGGUUUUAGAGGCAAAUCAAAGCAUUCAGCCUACUGAGCUCACAUUUAAAGUUAGCCUUUAUGAGGAACUCCUUGGGGCCCUCGUAUUCAAAUAGUGAAGUCUGAGAUUCACCUGAAGUGCCCACCCAUACAGAUCUAUGACAAGGCAGGAGGACAAGGGGAUGGGCAGCCGGGGCUUCAAGCCUCAGUUCUAGCAGUAGAGGCUCCAUAUUUUAAAUCAAAACUAGAAAACAAAACAAAACAAAACAAACCUUUAAUAAAAUCCUAGAGUCAUUCCAGACAGAAUACUUACUAACUAGCCAAGACCAGGAUAGGGCUGGAUUUAGGCAGACUAAAUGGGUUGGAUGAGCAGCACCACCUUUCCACCUUGGAAAGGCUGAGCAAUUGUCUUUCUUGGAUUUGAAUUAGGUUGGAAUUUCAGAGCCAUUUUAUCCCAGAUCUCUUGUAUUCAGGAAGCUUUCCUUAUUGGCAUCCUUGACACUUGACCCUUGUUAGUAGUCCUGCUACUACUUACCAGAAUAAUGAAACACAAGCACAAUGGAAAUGGAUUAGUAAAAAGGUCAGUGAAAUUCCAAAAGUCCCUUCUUCAGACCUGACAGUAGUUCUGAAUGGAGGCUCUUACCAGCCCAUUUUGUUGAGGUGGUUUGAUGUUGCAACCUGGCUGCUAAUAUAAAGAAAUGAGAAUAAAAUAGUGGAUGAAACUGAGAUAGCACAGCAGGUUAUGGCUUGCAUGUGGCAAAUUUGCUUUUGUUUUACCACUUUGAACACCACCCACCUUAUACUGAAGUGUAAUGGUGCUGCCUGUACUCCCCCAGGACCAAGAAUUUCAUAUAAUUUAAUAGUUUCUGUAAUUAGAUAUUUGUGAAACUGAAAUGCUCUGAUGAAAGGUGCUGUACAACUAUUACCAACUCUUUUGCCAUGAAAGGACUCCACCCAACCCGAAAUACAGAUGUUGUCCUCAAUGUUCAUCAUUACUAAUCCAAAUCAGCAGUACUUAUGGCCUGAUUUAAAUCCUCCUGAAGUCCAAGAUGAGUCCUGUGGGUUUGAGUAGGGCCUCAGGAAUUCUAGAAUGGAAAUUAAGUCAAAUCAGCCUUUUCUUCUCUCAAAAUUAGGACCUCCUUUUCCUUGGUAAUGACAGGAGCAAGACUAUUUGAAGUGAAGUCUAAUGCCAUUUGCUGCUGAGAGCUGUAUGAGGAAUUACCAUGUUCCUCCAUCAAGUCCAAGGACUCCUCUCGACUGCUGGAUGAUCGUUCUGCGCAUUAACACAAGACUCUGUAGUGCCCCGUCCCCACCCCGCCCUCUUCUUGCUGUGGAUUUCUACGAGGGGAUUCUAUUUUACAUUUAGUGUUUCUCAUAUUCAAGGAAUGACCUAACACAUCUUCAAACACCACUGAUAUGGUCAUCUACAUCCAGCCAUCAGGCCAGAUAUUGAUUAUUUAAUAUUGAUGGACCUGAGAUAUCCGGUAAUAAUAACAGUGAAGAAAGGGCAGAGCUGCUGCACCAGGCAUGCCACUGGUCUAGCUCUGCUGCUGCUGAGCAGCGACUCUGGUACCAAACCCUGCGCGUUCUUUAAGAAGGGGAAGUAGGAAGAACACUCCACCACCGUUCCUGGCCUGUCACUCAAAGAAGCAAAUGAAAGAGGAGAGUAAUUGUUUGCUGGUUACUACAGGAAAGGUUGUUUGCUGAGUCUUUUUAAACCAGUACGACAGGAUUGUUUGCUUCAAGCUACUUAGAUAUUAAAGAAACAAAAACGAUUUCAGCGUUUUCAUCUCAGGGAUUGCCAGCAUCUCUAGUGGUGCAGCACUCCUUCACCUCCUUCAGCACAAACGUUAUCCAUAUUCCUCCAGAAGUCCUCUGCCACUGCCUUUCUUCUCCUGCCUCGCCUGCACCUCCCGUCGCCGGCCCUGGCAAACAAGAGAGCCGCGGUUCAGCCAAGCAAAGAGAGAGCCCCACGUGCUGCGCCGGACUCGAGGCCAGCCUCAUCCAUCUUCUCUGCUCUCAGCCUCUUCAGUGCUUCAGUAAUUAGAAUUAUCAGGACUGAAACACUGUGGACAUUAUUGCUGCUUAGCGUGAAGUUAACAAGAGAGCCAGAUUUACAACAUUCUGGCCAGACAGAGAAUUAAAAAAAGUUACGAAUGAUUGCCCAGUCCCAGGGAUACAUACUCCAGGGUCUUACUUUGCCAGAGACUCCACAUGAACUUUAGCCUCUAGGAGAAAUCCGCCUGCAUUUUUCUAACUGAAAUACCAGCCAGACCAGUGGCAGGAUACAAACGAACACGCAUGAAAAAGUAAGGUUCAAUGACCCAAAUCAAUUAUGUUUUAAGGGCACUGCUCUGGACUCAGUAGGAAAUAUUUGAAACAGGAAAAAAGAACUAAAUGGGAUCAUUCAUUGAACUGACCUGGAAAUAAGACAGCAAUUUGGUAAAUAAGUUCAAUGCAAGCCAGUUUCAUGUAGCAAUGGUAGUGGAUAAAAAAAAAAAAUUUAAGGGUUGGGGGGAAAUAAAGGAAUUUCUUAGAUUCAAGUAAUGUUUCAGGCUUCUGGGUACUGCAGUGAACAGUGCAGUAAAACAAAGCAGUUCUCAUGCCUUCCUUGCACACAGGUGGUGUAAUACAGUUUACUUCCAGGAAUAAAAUUAAAUUAAAAAAAAAAAACA